UCUCACAAUUUUGUUUUGAUGUAUACCAGACUGGUCGGUGGAUGAAUCAGUCUGUCUGUGAAUUUUGUUAGCGCCGGAUAGAAAUUUGCUCGCUAGUCUUCGGCGGAGCCACUUGAUUUCAAUACUGUACGAAGUGCUUACAUUUAAAGAUAUAUUAUCAAGAUGAAGACUUUGAUUGCUCUGUUAAUGCGGACCGUGAUCAAUCAAUAAAUCAAACAAACUUUUUUUCAAUGGACGGGAAAAACGAAUCUAUGAAUCUAUCUCUGCCCCAUGUGUUUUGUGAUGGUCUGUUAUGUUUGACCAACAUAUCAGCGAACAUUUAUAACCUUGCAUUAAUGAUAUUUGCGUCUUAAAACCCUUGGAUAAUUGCAGCGAAUCAAGUUUAAAGACAAACUAAAAUAAACAAGAUUAAUGAUGUGUACUAAAUUGGUGCUGCUGCUCUGGAUGGUGACUAUAUCUGAACAUUUAGCCAUGAUUACUAGCAAUCCCAUCGGAGGUAACGUUUUCUACGAAGAAAAUUGCCAUCAGAAUGGGAUGCUUGUUUUGUAUCGCAUCAAAUUAGUAACUAGAUGGUCAAAAAAACUCUUUCCUAAACACUAUCCAGAAUUUCGGCCUCCUCCACAUUGGAGUAUGACGUUAGGUAGAGAGCUUGAGUCGUUUAGAACUCGUUUAGUGAUCGUUUUGUGGAUUUGUGCCACUUGGU